GCCCUUGUAGUUCAACGGACAGAAUACAAGCUUCCGGAGCCUGGGAUAGGGGUUCGAUUCCUCUCAAGGGCACCA
rnacentral:tRNA from 1 species